rnacentral:lncRNA from 1 species
UCGAUCAUUCACAUGAGGUGAGCUUCAGCCUGAGAUAGCAGGCGACAGAUUUCUUGCGUUUCAAAACUGCCAUGCCCCCCUGUGAUGCUCCAGUGAAGGAAUGCACUUUGCCUUGUAAGUUCCUGGGAAAGGGGAGAUCGCUACUGUAGACAUCCAGCCACACUUUCACCUCAGAUAUUUACCAUCCUUUGGGCAAAGAGAAGUGAGCUCAUCCUCCGGCCAGCGGCGUGCCAUGGAGUUCCUUGCCUGCCAGAGUCUAAACUAAUAGUAGGCAGCUCGGCCAUGGGCUCCCAGUUAUUUUUUCCUAUUCAGAGGUAGACAAGUAGUCGUUGAGGCUUAGAGCAAUUGUUUUGUUUCCAGUGAAUCAAAACAACUGUCAAACCAUUGAGGCCAUCUUCUCGACUCUUGUUACAGAAUUAUUCAGAAGGGAAGUUUGCAUGAUAAAGACCCAAACCAAUUAUAGAGAGAAGCCCAGCAACAGAGAGAACCCAGACUCCUUCCUGUAGUGUACAAAGUCUGGAAAUAACUACAGAUCUGUCAAACACCCAAGGGAAGCAGAGAAUGAAAAAUAGAUAAUAAAUAUUUUCAAGAGGAGACUGAACACUGACAAGAGGAAGUGGUGCAAGUGGCUUAAUUCCAGGAGUGCAGACAGCUGAACCCUCACUCAAGUGGCGAACAAGCCGGCCUUCCCAGAAAGCCAGAGUUGGGAAGAACGGAUGACACCAAGGAAACCUUAGUAGGAGAGCAUAAUUUAAUAAAAACAGAGGAGAAAUUUGGUUACCCUAGCUGCCAGAAACCUCAGGAAAUAACUACUCUACCACCUCCAAGAAACCCCCACACGUCAGCCCACAUUUGAGAUUCAAGACAGAGCUAGUUGCUCUCCUUGAGCACAUUCUAUAAAAUUGACAGCUUUUGGAAAGAAAAGAAUUAAAGGCAUAGGUUGAUACUGAUAGUUUUUAGAUUCAUAACUGCACACACACACACACACACACACACACACACACACGCAUUAGCAGAAGCAAAGUGAACAUAAGACUUU